CAAUGCUAGAGCCCCAAUGGCCCCUACUGCACCUGCACCGACUCCAGCCGCUGUUGCUGACGUAGCUGAUAUAGCAACCGCAGCCAGCUCUGCACUCUCCAACACCCAAAGAAUAAUGGCAGAGUAAUCUAUGAGACCUAGACAGAAUCUUAACCGCGUCGCCAACGGACGUAUCUGCCGGAAUAUCAAUUACUGCAAAUAAUAAUGUACUGCUGGGAAAGAUGAAACCGGAAUUUUCGCAAAUGCAUUUGUUAAAACCUCCUGUAGGGGACGAGCAAACCCCAAGUAGACAUCAAAGUGAUUGGGUGGUUCAAAAAUGAAGCAAGAAAUCACAUCUCUGAGUGUAAUCACACCAACAACUUCUCCUUCAUCAUCCACCACAUACACUCUGUGAACCGAUUUAGAAGCAAGACUUUCAAUCACAUCGCCGAGAGUCGACUGCAGAUUGCAUGUAAUUGGUAAUAUUUGUCUUCCCUGGCUUUCUGAGAUUGUGUUCGUGAAGUCCCUAACACUGAGAUUCCUGAAAGAAAAGGGUAACAAAUGAGGUCCAGAGUUUGGUUUCGGUACCUGAAAUUGUUGAAGAGCUCUGCUUUCAGAAGAGAGAAUCUGAUAUCACUUAUGCUGACAUUACCAACUAUCUUCUUCUUUGGCCCCUGCACAACUGGAAGCCCACCAA